rnacentral:rRNA from 1 species
CAGCCGCCGCGGUAAUGCGUAGGUGGCGAGCGUUGUCCGGAAUUAUUGGGCGUAAAGGGAGCGCAGGCGGACAUAUAAGUCCAUCUUAAAAGUGCGGGGCUCAACCCCGUGAGGGGAUGGAAACUGUAUGCCUUGAGUGUAGGAGAGGAAAGCGGAAUUCCCAGUGUAGCGGUGAAAUGCGUAGAUAUUGGGAGGAACACCAGUGGCGAAGGCGACUCUCUGGUCUGUAACUGACGCUGAGGCUCGAAAGCGUGGGUAGCAAACAGGAUUAGAUACCCCCGUAGUCCCUGUCUCUAUACAC